rnacentral:rRNA from 1 species
GUGCCAGCAGCCGCGGUAAGACGAACCGUCCUAACGUUGUUCGGAAUCACUGGGCUUAAAGGGCGCGUAGGCGGCUUGCCAAGUCAGGGGUGAAAUCCUGCAGCUUAACUGUAGAAGAGCCUUUGAUACUGGCGAGCUCGAGGGAGGUAGGGGUGGGUGGAACUUCUGGUGGAGCGGUGAAAUGCGUUGAUAUCAGAAGGAACGCCGGUGGCGAAAGCGACCCACUGGAUCUCUACUGACGCUGAGGCGCGAAAGCUAGGGGAGCAAACGGGAUUAGAUACCCCGGUAGUCCUAGCCCUAAACGAUGGGUACUAGAUUGCAGACUUGACAUGGGUUUGCAAUCGAAGCAAAAGUAUUAAGUACCCCGCCUGGGGAGUAUGGUCGCAAGGCUGAA